GAUGUACUUAUUUAGUUAAUGUAGAAUCAAUCAAAAGUGUUAUUUCAAAACCGUUUUAAUGAAAUCAAAAACACACUUUGGUAGUACAUGUUUUUCGUAGGGUGAGAAUUUGUCUCACCAAUUCCAAUAGUUCAUGACAUCAAAUGGUAUUCUUUAUCAAAUUUUUUAUUCUCAUACCUCUCAACAAAAUAGAGCAGNGGGNCCAAAAACAAANNUCUUAUAGAAACUACUUGAACAUUUCUUCAUAAUCAUUUUCCUCACCGUGUUUGGAGGGAUUUUAUCCUUAUAGUAUGUUAUCUCAUUAAUAGGAUGUAAUCGCNUAUAAACCACUCUAUCUCAUUCCCCUCUAUACAGUCUUCCUCCACGUGUUUUUAGUACCACAUGUUUUUUACGUAACCUCAUGUGGUCGAGAUAAACUUUCUCUUUAGUUGUUUAAAUUGUCUUCAUGGGACAUUAUUGUUCUCAGAUACUAUACACUUGUUCCUUCUAAAGAUGACAUAUGUAGUCACUUUUCCACCACUAUCAAUCUUCCAUCAUUACCGCUAUAUGACUCUGCCAUAACUCGGGAUGCUUCUCCAGCACCUUUUCAGGUAUAUUAAAGUUUUUCACAGUCUAUUGAAAUUGCAGUGUGAGACCCUCUU
rnacentral:lncRNA from 1 species